CAGCGGACGGGUGAGUAACGCGUGGGUAACCUGCCUCAUACAGGGGGAUAACAGUUGGAAACGGCUGCUAAUACCGCAUAAGCGCACAGUACCGCAUGGUACCGUGUGAAAAACUCCGGUGGUAUGAGAUGGACCCGCGUCUGAUUAGCUAGUUGGUGGGGUAACGGCCUACCAAGGCGACGAUCAGUAGCCGACCUGAGAGGGUGACCGGCCACAUUGGGACUGAGACACGGCCCAA
rnacentral:rRNA from 1 species